UACGGAGGGUGCGAGCGUUGUCCGGAAUCAUUGGGCGUAAAGGGCGCGUAGGUGGCCUGCUAAGCGUGCGGUGAAAGUCGGGGGCUCAACCCCCGAUCGGCCGUGCGAACUGGGAGGCUUGAGCACUGUAGAGGCAGGCGGAAUUCCGGGUGUAGCGGUGGAAUGCGUAGAGAUCCGGAAGAACACCGGUGGCGAAGGCGGCCUGCUGGGCAGUAGCUGACGCUGAGGCGCGACAGCGUGGGGAGCAAACAGG
rnacentral:rRNA from 1 species